UUAUGGGAGGUUUUUUUUAGAACAACUAGAAAUAGUUUAGAAAAAGAAAUAGUUUGAAGUCCAACAAACUCAAAUGGUUAACUUAACAUCUGUUAAGACAAAGUAACUGAUGACACUAGAUCUACUUAUUUUGCCAUGUGAAGAAUAGUACUAAAAAAUGGCAAAUCAUUCAUUAAUAGAAAUUGGAAUUUUGUAUAUUUCAACUUUUUAAUUUAAGACUACUGACAUGUCUAUUUAAAUUUAUGUACACAUUACAAUGUUUUUACACAUUUUAUGUACAAACUCGUUUCAAUAAAAAUAACACAAUCAACACAAUAUCUGUUUAGCU